GGGGAGGGGUGAGGCGAGGGGCUGGAGGAGCCCCUCCUGGCCGCCCUCCUGCCGAGCGCGCGCGGGGUGGGGGUGGGGGUCCUUCCCUGAAGCCCUGCACGGGGUCCUCCCACGCGGGACAGUGACAACAGCGGCUGGAAGUCUCCAAGGAGAACGGGCUAUUUAACCUCACAAGGACCCUGGGAAGCAGAUUCUCCCAUCGCCCCCUUUACAGGCGGGGAGACGGAGGGGCAGAGGGGGCUGGUGACUCACAGAAUCGUAAGCGCAGGAGCGUCAAGCGGGGUCAGGACCCAGCCUGACUCUAGAUGCGGCUGAAUGUCCUUCAAGCUUUUCCCACCGUCUCGUGUCAGGGCAGCCUGGCGGCCGGUGAUGCCAGCUGUCCCCAGACUGGGCUUCCCUGCCUGGGGACACCACAAGUCGGGGAUGCCCCCAAGUGCCCACCCGGGACUUUCUGGGUUGCAGGUUUCACUGGGCAUUCAGGACUCUUCUCUGUGGAAGACGGGGCUCCCUGUUCCCAGGGCCCGAGGGUGCUCUGUGGGCCCACCUCACGGCCUGCUGCAUGAACCGGUCAGGGUCCACUGCCAAAAACGUGGUUAGCACGGUGCCAGUGGGCACGCCCUCCUCCAGGCGGAUCAGCUUGUGGUUCGAGGGGAAGUAGGGGGCCUCGUUGAUGUCCAUGACUGAGAUGGUCACCCCCGCCGUGGACUGGAAGGACAUCUGGAUCCCGCUGGCCAGGGGCGCCUGGUUGGACACCAUCACGGUCAGCAUGAACGCUCUGUUCAGCUCAUAGUCGACCGCCUGGAAUGAGAGGCGCCGGGACGGGGAGCUGGCUUAGGUGCCCGCGAGGCUGUCAGGGAGGGUGGUGCCCGUGGGGCUGCUUGGUCUGCACACGCCCUGCUCUGGGCCCAGGAGGUCAGUCCCGAGGGGUGCCGUCCCCCAGCUUCCCACGUCAUGGAGUGGCAGUAGCUGGGCUCCUCGGGGGCUACGGCUCCCUCCAGGCACACCUCCUAGCCAGCGGCUCCGGCACUCAUCACGCAUUAGGAGUGCGGGGGCCCCACCCUGCUCCCUGCAGCCUGGCAGGUCGAGGGCCUGGCUCUUGUCCGUCCAGGGUGCCUCACCAGGUGUGGUGGGUGGAAGGGUGGCCUCCAAGGAUACAUCCCUCUGGAACCUGUGACUGUGACCUUUGGCAAAUAGGGUUUUUGUAGAUGUAAUGAAGUUAAAGGUCUCGAGAGGGAGUCGCCCUGGAUUGAGGUGUUCCCCGAUUCAAGCCUGGGUGCCCUGUGAGUUAGGGGAGGGAGACUGCAGACACAGAAAGGGGCCAGGUGAAGACAGGCACAGGCUGGGGUGACGCAGCUCUGAGCCAGGGAUGGCCAACAACCCCAGGAGCUGGACGGGGCAGGAGGGAUCCUCCCAGAGCCUCCAGAGGGAGCACAGCCCCGCCAAUGCCCUGAUUUUGGACGUCUGGCCUCCAGAGCUGUGAGAGCGCAUCCUUCAGCUGUUCUAACCCACCUGGUCUGUGGUAAGUUGCUACAGCAGCCCCAGGACACCCACACACCAGGUCUCACAGAGCCCCCUCACCUCUGCGUGGCCCUUGCAUGACCAUUCUCUCCAGUUGACACACAUUUUGGGGGUGUCAGGACCCCGGAUGAUAAAUGUUAGUAUGGUUCUAUUGUCUACAGUUAUAGGGUCUCCGGGGUACGAUCAGUCUCGGGGGGUAUUCUUCACGUUUUGAGGGGGGAUGGAAGCUGCACGGAAGCACUUGGGGCCCCGAGACGUGUAAUUAUUCCUGGCAAAGCUUGCAACAGUCUCACUAGAAAACAAGCAACACAGCACACUGCAGCUGCAUUUGAACAGUUCUGCUUAGACACGUGCGGAGUAUUACGUGCCCAAGAAUAUUCACUGACGUAUCAUCUGUAUCAUUCAUAGAGGAUUUAUACUGCUGUCAACUCAGGCACCCAUAGCACUGGCUGGGCUGCAUCCGCACAGUGGGGACAUUUGCAGCUGUAAGAAAGAACCAGGAAGAUACACGUGGGAACGGAGAGAUCUCCAGGAUCGACUGGUAUUACAAGUAAACUUGUAUAUAUGAAGCAAUCUCUGAAAAUCAGAAACAAACGGAGUUAAAUUAAACUAACUGUAUAUCGAUGGUAAUAUAACUCCCAAGAAAAUAAUGAUUUCUCGUGACUGGGACAGCAUUUAGACGAUGUGCUUGGAAACGUUUGUGGUAAAUGGUGUGACACACUUCUGCUCAGAGGGGACCUGAUCGCCUCGUGGGACCAGUUGUCCUGCGAGCCCCGGGGGUGCUGGUGAUGGGGCCGUGCUGCCCUGCCUGCUGCUCGCCUGGCCCAGCCCUGCCCCAUCGCUGGGCUCCUCCUGCAGCUCAGCCUUGAUUUCUAUGAAGAAGCAGAAGCAAGAGAGGUUAAGAGACCUUGGCACGGCCCAGAGAAAGCACAGCUCAGGGAAACCGCCGGGUGACUGCCGGAGCCUGGAUCCAGCCAUGCCUGAAGACAGUGCAGCUUCUGCGAGAUGAGGAGAUUCUCUUCUUGUUUCAGUUGCCAGGAACCGUGCUUUCUCGCCCUCCUCUACUGCCACGACCUGGUCAGGUGAUCUAGAACCUGCCAGUGGGACACACCUUCAUGAGUUUGAUUCAGAAGAGAGGCAGAGAGACCUUGUGCUUUGGCGCCUGCAGUGGCAGAAGGGAGAAGCCUGGGGCCCGGGGCCCGGGUGGUGACUCUGGAGCCUUGUCCCCUCCUUGCGGUGCUGCUGUGAGAACAGAUUCUUUCCCCAUACAGGUUAUUAGAAAACACUGAGUGAGUUCCCUGUGGCAUACAGUAGGUCCUUGUUCUUUAUCUAUUUUAUAUAUAGCAGUGUGUAAAUGUUAAUCCCAACCUCCUAAAUUAUCCCCCGGCCCUUUGGUAACCAUAAGUUUGUUUUCUAUGUCUACGAGUCUGUUUCUGUUUUGUAAAUAAGUUCAUUUGUAUCAUCUUUUUAGUUUCCACCUGUAAGUGAUAUAUGAUGAUAUCUGUCUUUCUGUCUGACUUCACUUAGCAUGAUCAUCUCCAGGUCCAUCCAUGUUGCUGCAAAUGGCAUUAUUUCAUUCUUUUUUAUGGCUGAGUAAUAUUCCAUUGUAUAUGUGUACCACAUCUUCUUUAUCCACUCAUCUUUUGAUGGACAUUUAGGUUGCUUCCAUGUCUUGGCUAUUGUAAAUGGUGCUGCAGUGAACACUAGGGUGCAUGUAUCUUUUCAAAUUAUGGUUUUCUCCAGAUAAAUGCCCAGGAGUGGGAUUGCUGGGUCAUAUGGUAGUUCUAUAUUCAGUUUUUUAAGGAACCUCCGUACUGUUCUCCAUAGUGGCUGCACCAAUUUACCUUCCCACCAACAGUGCAAGAGGGUUCCCUUUUCUCCACACCCUCUCCAGCAUUUGUUGUUUGUAGAUUUUCUGGUGAUUUCCAUUCUAACUGGUGUGAGGUGAUACUUCAUUGCAGUUUUGAUUUGCAUUUCUCUAAUUAGUGAUGUUGAACAUCUUGCCACGUGCCUUUUUGCCAUCUGUGUGUCUUCUUUGCAGAAAUUUCUACUUAGGUCUUCUGCCCAUUUUUUGAUUAGGUUUUCUUGAUAUUGAGCUGCAUGAGCUGUUUGUAUAUUUUGGAGAUGAAUCCCUUGUCAGUCGCUUCAUUUGAAAAUAUUUUCUCCCAUUCCAUAGGUUGUCUUUUCGUUUUAUGGUUUCCUUUGCUAUGCGAAAGCUCUUAAGUUUAAUUAGGUCCCAUGUGUUUAUUUUUGUUUUCAUUACUCUGGAAGAUGGAUCCAAAGAUGUAUUGCUGCGAUAUGUCAAAGGGUGUCCUCCCUAUGUUUUCCUCUAGGAGUUUUAUAGUAUCCGGUCUUAUGUUGAAGCCUUUAAUCCAUUUUGAAUUUAUUUUUUGUAUGGUGUUAGAGAAUGUUCUAAUUUCAUUCUUUUACAUGUAGCUGUACAGUUUCCCCAGCACUACUUAUUGAAGAGACUGUAUCUUCUCCACUGUAUAUUCUUGCCUCGUUUGUCGUAGAUUAAUUGACCAUAGGUGUGUGGGUUUAUUUGUGGGCUUUCUAUCCUGUUCCAUUGAUCUACAUUUCUGUUUUUGUGCAAGUACCAUGCUGUUUUGAUUACUGUAGCUUUGUAGUAUAGUCUGAAGUCAGGGAGCCUGAUUCCUCCAGCUCCGUUUUUCUUUCUCAAGAUUGCUUUGGCUAUUCGGGGUCUUCUGUGUUUUCAUACAAAUUUUAAAACUUUUUGUACUAGUUCUGUGAAAAAUACCAUAGGUAACUUGAUAGGGAUUUCACUCAGUCUGUAGAUUACCUUGGGUAGUAUAGUCAUUUUGACAAUAUUGACUCUCCCAAUCCAUGAACUUGGUAUAUGCUUCCAUCUAUUUAUGUCAUCUUCUGUUUCUUUCAUCAGCAUCUUACAGUUUUUGGAGUACAGGUUUUUUGUUUUUUUUUUUUUCUCCUUAGGUAGGUUCAUUCCUGGGUAUUUUAUUCUUUUUGAUGCCAUGGUAAAUGGGAUUGUUUCCUUAAUUUCCCUUUCUGAUCUUCUGUUGUUAGUGUAUAGAAAUGCAACAGAUUUGUGUGUAUUAAUUUUGUAUCCUGCAACUUUACCAGAUUCACUGAUGAGCUCAAGUAGUUUCCUGGUAGCAUCUUUAGGAUUCUCAAUGAAUGUACAGUGUAAUGUCAUCUGAAAACGGUGACAGUUUUGCUUCUUUUCCAGUUUGGAUCCCUUUUAUUUCUUUUUCUUUUCCAAUUGCUGUGGCUAGGACUUCCAAAACUAUGCUGAAUAAAAGUGGUGAGAGUGGACAUCCUUGUUUGUUCUUUUUAAAUUUAUUUAUUUUUGGCUGCGUUGGGUCUUUGUUACUGUGCGCGGGCUUUCUCUAGUUGAGGCGAGCAGGGGCUACUCUUGCUGUGGUGCAUGGGCUUCUCAUUUCGGUGAUUUCUCUUGCUGCGGAGCACAGGCUCUAGGCGCACAGGCUUCAGUAGUUGUGGCACACCGGCUUAGUUGCUCCGCAGCAUAUGGGAUAUUAUUCCCAGACCAGGGCUUGAACCCGUGUCUCCCGCAUUGGCAGGUGGAUUCUUAACCACUUUGCCACCAGGGAAGUCCCCUUGUCUUGUUCUUGAUCUUAGAGGAAAUGCUUUCAGCUUUUCACCAUUGAGUAUGAUGUUAGCUGUGGGGUUGUCAUAUAUGGCCUUUAUUAUGUUGAGGUAGGCUCCCUCUAUGCCUACUUUCUGGACAGUUUUUUUUUUAAAUCAUAAAUGGGUGUGGAAUUUUAUCAGAAGUUUUUUCUGCUUCUACUGAGACGAUCGUAUGGUUUUUAUUCUUCCAUUUGUUAAUGUGGUGUAUCACACUGAUUGAUUUGCAGAUACUGAAAAAUCCUUGCAUCCCUGGGAUGGAUCACACUUGAUCGUGGUGUAUGAUCCUUUUAAUGUAUUGUUGGAUUCGGUUUGCUAGUGUUUUGUUGAGGAUUUUUGCAUCUGUGUUCAUCAGUGAUAUUGGCCUGUAAUUUUUUUUUGAAGUAUUUUUGUCUGGUUUUGGUAUCAGAGUGAUGGUCGCCUCAUAGAAUGAGUUUGGAAAUGUUCCUUCUUCUGCAAUUUUUUGGAAUAGUUUCAGAAGGAUAGGUGUUAACUCUUUUUUAAAUGUUUGAUAGAAUUCACCUGUGAAACCAUCUGGUCCUGGACGUUUUGGUUUGUUGGGAGUUUUUAAAUCACAGAUUCAAUUUCAGUACUUGUAAUUGGUCUUUUCAUAUUUUCUAUUUCUUCCUGGUUCAGUUUUGGGAGAUUGUACCUUUCUAAGAAUUUGUCCAUUUCUUCUAGGUUGUCCAAUUUACUGCCAUAUAGUUGCCUGUAGUAGUCUCUUGUGGUCCUUUGUAUUUCUGUGCUGUUGGUUGUAAUGUCUCCUUUUUCAUUUCUAAUUUUAUUGAUUUGAGUCCUCUCCCUUUUUUUCCUGAUGGGUCUUGCUAAAGUUUUAUUAAUUUUAUCUUUUCAAAGAACCAGCUUUUACUUUAAUUCAUCUUUUUUUAUGGUUUUCUUAGUCUGUAUUUCAUUUAUUUCUGCUCUGAUCUUUAUGAUUUCUUUCCUUCUACUAACUUUGGGUUUUGUUUGUUCUUCAUCUUUAGUUGCUUUAAUGUAAGGUUAGGUUGUUUGAGAUUUUUCUUUUUCCUGAGGUAAGCUUGUAUUGCUAUAAACUUUCCUCUUAGAACUGCUUUUGCUGCGUUCCAUAGCUUUUGGAUCAUAGUGCUUUCGUUUUCAUUUGUCUCUAGGUAUUUUUUGAUUUCCUCUUUGAUUUCUUCAGUGAUCCAUUGGUUGUUCACUAGCAUAUUGCGUAGCCUCCACGUGUUAGUGUUUUUUUGCAGUUUUUUUUCUUGUAGUUGAUUUCUAAUCUUAUAGUGUUGUGGUUGGAAAAGAUGCUUGAUAUGAUUUCAAUUUUCCCAAGUUUACUGAGGCUCGCUUUGUGGCCCAGCACGUGAUCUGUCCUGGAGAAUGUUCCGUGUGCACUUGAAAAGAGUGUGUAUUCUGCUGCUUUCGGACAGAAUGCUCUGUAGAUGUCAGUUAAGUGCAUCUGGUCUAAUGUGUCAUUUAAGGCUUGUGUUUCCUCACUGAUUUUCUGUCUGGAUGAUCUGUCCAUUGAUGUAAGUGGGGCGCUGAAGUCCCCCACUAUUAUUUAUUUACUGUCAAUUUCUCCUUUUAUAUCUGUUAACAUUUGCCUUAUAUAUUGAGGUGCUCCUGUGUUGGGUGCGUAUAUAUUUACAAUUGUUGUAUCUUCUUCUUGGAUCGAUCCCUUGAUCAUUACGUAGUGUCCUCCUUUGUCUCUUGUAGUAGUCUUUAUUUUCAAGUCUAUUUUAUCUGAUAUGAGUAUUGCUACUCCAGCUUUCUUUUGCUUUCCAUUUGCAUGGAAUACCUUUUUCCACCCCCUUUCAGUCUGUAUGUGUCUCUAGGUCUGAAGUGGGUCUCUUGUAGACAACAUAUAUAUGGGUCUUGUUUUUGUAUCCAUUCAGCCAGUCCACGUCUUUUGGUUGGAGCAUUUAACCCGUUUACAUUUAAGGUAACUAUUAUUAUUAUUUUUUGCGGUACGCGGGCCUCUCACUGCUGUGGCCUCUCCCGUUGCGGAGCACAGGCUCAGCAGCCAUGGCUCACGGGCCCAGCCGCUCGGCGGCACGUGGGAUCCUCCUGGACCGGGGCACAAACCCGUGUCCCCUGCAUCGGCAGGCAGACCCUCAACAACUGCGCCACCAGGGAAGCCCCCAUUUAAGGUAAUUAUUGAUAUGUAUGUUCUUACUGGUAUUUUGUUAAUUGUUUUGGGUUUGUAGGUCUUUUUUCUUCCUUUCCUCUUUUGUUCUCUCUUCUUAUGAUUUGAUGACUAUCUUUAGUGUUGUGUUUGGAUUCCUUUUUCUUUUUUGUGUGUACGUCUAUUAUAGAUUUUUGGUUUGUGGUUACCAUGAGGUUCUGAUACAGCAGUGUAUAUAAACAUAUGAUUGUUUUAAAUUGUGAUCUCUUAAUUUCAAACGCACUUCCAGUGUCCUGCACUUGUGCUCUCCUCCUCUCACGAUGGCUGGUGUUGAUACCAUGCUUGUGUGGAUGAUCUCCUACCUUUACUGUACGUUUGCCUUUACUGGUGAGCUUUCCCAUUUCAUCAUUUUCUUGUUUCUAGUUGUGGCCUUUUCCACGUAGAGAAGUUCCUUCAGUGUCUCUUGUAACGCUGGUUUGGUGGUGCUAAAUUCUUUUAGCUUUUGCUUGUCUAUAAAGCUUUUGAUUUCUCCAUCAAAUCUGAAUGAGAGCCUUGCUAGGUAGAGUAUUCUUGGUUGUAUGUCUUUUCCUUUCAUCACUUUAGAUAUAUCCUGCCACUCCCUUCUGGCCUGCAUAGUCUCUGCUGAAAAAAAAUCAGCUGAUAAUCUUUUGUUUUUAAAAAUAAAUUUAUUUAUUUUUGGCUGUGUUGGGUCUUCGUUGCUGCGAGCAGGCUUUCUCUAGUUGCGGCGAGUGGGGGCUACUCUUUGUUGUGGUGCACGGGCUUCUCAUUGUGGUGGCUUCUCUUGUUGCGGAGCACGGGGUCUAGGCACGCAGGCUUCAGUAGCUGUGGCUUGCGGGCUCUAGAGCACGGGCUCAGUAGUUGUGGCACACUCCGCGGCACGUGGGAUCUUCCUGGACCAGGGCUCGAACCUGUGUCCCCGGCAUUGGCAGGCGAUUCUUACCCACUGCACCACCAGGGAAGCCCGUCUUUCUUGUUUAUUGAUGAGUGACUGUGCAGCAGUUAGCUGUGACUUUGGUGCUUUUGUGUUAGGUGAGCGCAAGGCCUUCUACUCCACCAUCUUGUCUUCUCUCUGUGAGGCUAUUCUUUUCCCUGUUUCUAUUCUUGCAACUUUUCUGUGAGCUUGAAAUUAUUUCUAAACACAUGUUGAAAAAAUUUCAGGGGCGUUCGGAAUCUGUGGAUAUGGAAAGGUCUUCAAGACAUAUCAUAAGCGGAAAAACCAAAAACAACGCAAGGGUCAGAGUGAAAACACAAGGGGCUCCUCCUCAAAUUCCAAAGGGUCCAAGCUGAGGACAGAAGAAACCCAGAUGGGCGGGGCCCUAUCUGACUGAACUGAUACAACAACAAGGAAGGACCCCAGAGGCCUUAUGCCACCAGGUGGGCGGCUCCAGGGAAUCGUGCGUUCCGUGUGACUCCGUUUACAUGACAUCCUAGAACAGCUCCUUCCAUCAGGUGGCAGCAGAGAGAGGAGCAGCCCGAAGGCCCGGGACCGUCUCCGAGGGGACGCGCACUCACCGUGCUGGCAGCAGAGAAAGAAGCAGCCCGAAGGCCCGGGACCGUCUCCGAGGGGAUGCGCACUCACCGUGCUGGCAGUGAACUCGGGCGGGUUGUCGUUCACGUCCGUCACCGUGAUGAUGGCUGUGGCCGUGUUGGACAGGCCAUAGUUCAGGUUUCCUUCCAUGUCUGUCGCUUGAACGAUGACUGUGUACUGCUGAACUUUCUAGAAGGGCAUGAGGGGGAGGAAGACAGCAUCAGUUUGGGUUUUAGUUUACAGGCUGUUUAUACUUUCAUUAAAGAAAUACAUUCCCUGGACGGACUCAGCUGGGUCCCCGUCCUGCCCGGGGGCGCUGGCUGCAGGGCGCUCGGCAGGUGACCUGGCAGAAGAAAGUUCUCACUUGCGGUGGGUGGUGAGGUCUCUGCCUUCACCUCAG